CUGCUUCUUGUCCUUCCAUAGCUACACUCUUUGGUCACUAAUCCUUCUGAGUACACUGAUUUUUUUUCCACAGUUUUGAGUUAACUCAGGUGGUCAAGCUGUGGUCAUGCAUGGCUAAUUACAGUGGAAAGAGAAAAAUUAGUUCUUUGAUUAACAUUCUGUUCCUUUGGAGAGACUGAGAAAUGGCUUUGACAGCUCCAGCUCCACUGACACCCUUCUGGCAGCUUAUUGCCCAUGCUUCUGAAUUGCAGUAAUUUCUGGAGAACGUGGCAGAUCCAUGACUGGUAGCUGGGAGGAUGGAGACUGUUUAGACCAUUAUAUUCCAGGAUGCAGUUGUGGUAUAUUAAAAGUGAAAAGGCUACUUACAGAAUUUAUGCUUGCAAUUACCUUGAUAGUGAACAAGGAGUGCAACAAAAGUAAGUUUCACAAAGAAAAGGAGCAAAAAGGAAAUUACAGGAAAUUACAGCAUUUUUAGGUUUUUUGUUGUUGUUGUUGUUGGGGUUUUUUUGGGGAGUUUUUUUUGGGUUUUUUUUACUAUGAAAAGUGGCAUAAAAUGCUGGCUGAACAAAUCUCUAGGCUAAAUUCGGCAGAUAUCAGCAUCACUGUAAACUCUGCCUGCAACACAGGUGAGCCUCCAAAAUAUCAUACCAUUUAGUAGGUUGGUCUUCACAGGGUGAUUGUCUCAAUUUCACAUGGAUGCAAUGGUUGACAAGUCCAUCUCCUUAGUAACCUCUGAAAACUCUCGCUGGAAUGCCAAAGCGUUUGGGAAGCUGCCAGAGCUGUUAGUGCUUCAUCUGGAAACCUUCAGAGGGUCACUUUUGGGAUGAAUGGGAGAAGGUACGUGUUCUUUAUUGACAUUAAAACUUCAGAAUGCCAGAGGUUUUGCUUGGUUAGGCCAGUACACUUACAUCUUCAUGUGCCAGAUUCAAUUACAGACUGUGUGUGGAUGUGUUUCUAGCUAGGACAGAUAAACGGACAGGGAUCCCACAAUAUUCCUGUCAACUGAGAACUGAUUCUUGAUAGUUUAUCAAGACUUCACCUGCAAAACAAUUCAUCUUCUCCUAAAAAUGGGUUAAUUUUCUGUAUAUUUAUAGUGAUUGUGUGAGACAUGGAAAAACUGGCUCUUAAACUCCCAUUUCAAAUGAGAAUUACACUUUGGUUUUGAAAUGUUUUGCCUAGAAUCUCCUGCUUCACAUUAGGUGCUGAAGGUAGCUAAGCCAAUUUGCAAAUCCAGCUCAUUUCAGAACUGACC
rnacentral:lncRNA from 1 species